rnacentral:rRNA from 1 species
UACGGAGGAUGCGAGCGUUAUCCGGAUUCAUUGGGUUUAAAGGGUGCGUAGGCGGUUCUGUAAGUCAGUGGUGAAAUCCUGCCGCUUAACGGUAGCACUGCCAUUGAUACUGCAGGACUUGAGUACAAUUGAGGUAGGCGGAAUGUGUUGUGUAGCGGUGAAAUGCUUAGAUAUGACACAGAACACCGAUUGCGAAGGCAGCUUACCAAGCUGUAACUGACGCUGAGGCACGAAAGCGUGGGGAUCGAACAGG